CAAAUUAAAGCUUUAAAUAAGUAUUUUAUUUACAUUAAGAUGAUAAUUGUGUAAUUCAAUUUAAUUUGA
rnacentral:tRNA from 1 species